GUGAGCCUGGGUCGAACGGCCCCUAGUGCAGAUCUUGGUGGUAGUAGCAAAUAUUCAAAUGGGAACUUUGAAGACUGAAGUGGGGAAAGGUUCCGCGUCAACAGCAGUUGGACGCGGGUCAGUCGAUCCUAAGAGAUGGGGAAGCUCCGUUUCAACGAGCGCAAUUCGCUUGCGCCACCAUCGAAAGGGAAUCCGGUUAAGAUUCCGGAACUUGGAUGUGGAUUCUUCACGGCAACGUAACAGAAUGCGGAGACGCCGGCGGGAGCCC
rnacentral:ncRNA from 1 species